rnacentral:rRNA from 1 species
GUGAGGAAUUUUCCGCAAUGGGCGAAAGCCUGACGGAGCAAUGCCGCGUGAAGGAUGAAGGCCUAUGGGUUGUAAACUUCUUUUCUCAGAAAAGAAUUAUGACGGUAUCUGAGGAAUAAGCAUCGGCUAACUCUGUGCCAGCAGCCGCGGUAAGACAGAGGAUGCAAGCGUUAUCCGGAAUGAUUGGGCGUAAAGCGUCUGUAGGUUGUUUAAAAAGUAUUCUGUCAAAGAUUAGGGCUUAACCCUAGAUAGGCAGAAUAAACUUUUAAGCUAGAGUUUGGUAGAGGCAGAGGGAAUUCCCGGUGGAGCGGUGAAAUGCGUAGAUAUCGGGAGGAACACCAAAGGCGAAGGCACUCUGCUGGGCCAAUACUAACACUGAGAGACGAAAGCGAGGGGAGCAAACAGGAUUAGAUACUCGAGUAGUCC